CCUACGGGAGGCAGCAGUGAGGAAUAUUGGUCAAUGGACGAGAGUCUGAACCAGCCAAGUAGCGUGAAUGAUGACUGCCCUAUGGGUUGUAAACUUCUUUUAUAUGGGAAUAAAACGUUCCACGUGUGUGAUUUUGUAUGUACCAUAUGAAUAAGGAUCGGCUAACUCCGUGCCAGCAGCCGCGGUAAUACGGAGGAUCCGAGCGUUAGCCGGAUUUAUUGGGUUGAAAGGGAGCGUAGGUGGAUUGUUAAGUCAGUUGUGAAAGUUUGCGGCUCAACCGUAAAAUUGCAGUUGAAACUGGCAGUCUUGAGUACAGUAGAGGUGGGCGGAAUUCGUGGUGUAGCGGUGAAAUGCUUAGAUAUCACGAAGAACUCCGAUUGCGAAGGCAGUUCACUGGACUGCAACUGACACUGAGGCUCGAAAGUGUGGGUAUCAAACAGGAUUAGAUACCCUAGUAGUC
rnacentral:rRNA from 1 species